AGCCUGCAAAGGAAAUGGAAUGAGGAAUAGGUUUGUUUUGGUCACCCAGAAGGGAACCUAUCACACACAUUCACACAAACACACCUAAGGCCUAACAGCCACUUCAUACUGAUUCCUGACACCAAAAUAAAAUAAAGAUGGAACUUCAGAGAGAUAAGACAAAGAGAAGGAGUGGAAAUGAAGCUGCCAAGGAAAACUGGACUGAUUUUGCAAAGCUGCCUGACAUAUACCCCUCUAGCAAGCUCAACCGGGGUGAUAUCUCUUCAAGACAACUACCUUGAUACCCUCCCAGUAAUAUUCCAGAUCUGCCCCAAGGCUGCGUUAUGUGAUCUGUCUGUGUUUUUAUAGCUCCUUGUACUGCAUUCUACCACAGUACCACUUGUGUUUUUCAGAAUCAUAAUCUGAAUGGAUCUCUGGGAAGCUGGAAAAAAUCUAUUUGUCAAAUUAAGAAUUUUCUAAUAUUCUGAAGACAAUUAAAGGACAUGGUGCCUGAGAAGUGCUUUAGCAUUGUUCCUGGCAUGAAAGAAGUGCUCAAGGAAUAAUUUUUAAUAGUAUUAUUAAGACAAUUGCUUAAACUUUGUUUUUCUUUUUCUUCCCUCUCCUACUCCUCUUUCUCUCCACAGAUAGAUAUGUACUUAGAUGGAUGCACAUACUUUGUAAUUUCUAUGGCAUGUAUUACUUAAUAUAUAUGAGAGUAAAGUUAAAUUUCUGUGUUUUCAAUAGGAAUAAUAUAAUAAUAUAAUAUAGAUGUUAAUGAUUAAAGAAAUUCUAAUUUGUGGGCUUUGAAAGGGUAUUUCUAAAAUUAUAUAAGAAGGGACAUUUACUAUCUUUGCAUUAUAUAUUACAUCAUAAUUAUCCUUUGUCCAUCUCUAAACUAUUUUCACAGUAUAUUUUUCCUAUCAAAGUUGAGAUAAAUGUGUGUCUAGAAGAUAAAUGGGAUACAUUUAAAACUCCAUUUCACCAUCUUCCAGACACAGCAGUAUGCCAAUAAAUAUUUGUAUAAGUAUGUAAUACAUAGGUUAAAACAAAUGUUACUAAUUACAUGGAUUAUCUGGAUUAAAUAUGGAUAUAUAUACUAGAAUAUUUCAAUUUUAUUGCCAAUUUAUUCAUAUGAAAUAGCAUUGGUUUUCAUGACAUUUAUAUUUAUAACACUUUUUCCUGAAAUGUGUCAUAAAUCUUCUAAAGAUUGAAUAAAUGGGAAAAAAAGAGCAAUUAUGAAACUUAGUGAACCAAGAUGUGUUUUCAAAUGCCAAUAGUCAGACAUAAAAUUUUAGAAGAUUAUGAUCACAUCGAUCAGUUGCUUUGAGAUAAUGCUCUCUUACAUCAAUAGCCAUAAAGAUGAGCGGAUUGAUUAGAUACUCCAUGACAAGACACUGACUUGGGAAAUAUGUACACAGAUCCAUGUUUAAUUUUGGAGAUUCUGUAAUCCAUUUUCAUUUCAGCUCACAAUACACUGAUUGCUACCAAAAAAAAUACUAUUAAGAGUACUUGCUUAUACAAUUUUCUGCCAUAAAUGAAUUGAUUUUUCCAAUUAUUUUAUUUGUGAUGAUGGCACUUGUCAUGUUUCCUUAGUUCUGUAAUCCAAAUUUUAAGUCACCUCUGCCAUAGUGACUGUAAAAAUAAUGAAAACUUGUUUCCAUGAUACUUCUUGAGGGAUGACAUCAUUAUUUCAGUUUUAUUUUCCUAAAGGCUUUAUUUAGGCAUAUUUAAAAAAUACUUUAACGGCUAGGGGAAAUUUUAAACAAGUCAGGUAUCAAGUAGGCCUUAUUGCAUUAGACACUUAGGAGUCCUCCUGCUUUAUUUUUUUCCUCGCACAAAUUUUCCAGAAGGUACAGUAUGGAUUUAUCAUAAUAGAAAAUAGUUGCUUCAUAUUUUAGACUACGAAAAUCCAAAGGGACUAAAGUAUACCAUGUGAUACAGUGCAAAAAAAGAGGGCUUGGGGAAAAGGGGACUCCAGUCAAAGGCCUUUGAGAAAUAUAUAGCAAGUAUAAUGAAAAGAAACAAUUUUAACUCUGGCUAUGAUGGAAGUGUGUGUCCAAAAACAAAGCAUUUAUUUUUCUGCUACUUUCACCUCAAAAGAUGUGAGAAUUUCAUCCCAGCAGCAAGCAAGCAUCUCUACAGCACUGGAAUAUACCUGGCGUCCUCUACUCCAAUUCCAGCUGUAACACUGUCUACUGGAAGCAGUUUCAGAUUCCACUGGUUUGAGGAUUCAAUCCCUCCUAUUUCAAUGUCAAUCGCAAGCCCCAAGACAUUUUCUCCAAGCUUCCUAUUUCUACAAAUCAGGUUCCUGCUUAGCUUCCAAAGCCUCCUCCUUAGCUUCUAUUUAUUUGUUUGAGCAAAUCACAGAACUCAGGGAAGCACAUUUGCCAGUUAUUAUAAAAGAUACAGAUAAUGUGUGGAGUUGAAAUCUGAAGAAAGCACAGAAAAAAAAAAAAGAAGAAAGAGCAUUUUAAUCAUACUCGAUACCGGCAAACAGCAAAGGUGUGUCAUAGUCAUUCUGCAGGUGGUGAGAAUCAUGAGAUUUUUAAAGAAUAACAGAAUAUAUAAAUUCUGCCAAAAAAUGUAUACACACCUCAGGAGAAGAAAAACUUGUAUAAGUAUUUAAAUACUAAAUUUAUUAAGACAUUGUUAGAUUAAUACAAGUUACCUGUGGCCUCUACAAAUACAAGAGGUACUCAAAGUGAUGGUCAUUAGCUCCCAGACAUUUAGUAUACUGCAAACCACUGCUUGGGUAACCUUGGUUGUUGAGAUUGCUGCACAUGCAUUUUAAAUUUCUUUGCUAAGGGCCAAUAAUUGUUUUCUGCAAUAUGACAUCUUCUAGGAUCCCUCAUAAGAGGGUAACACCAUCUGUUGAAAAAAAACCUGUUAUUUUUCUUUUACUGGAGUGUGUAUACAUUUUUGGUGGUCUAUCUAUCUAUCUUCUGUCUAUC
ensembl:lncRNA